rnacentral:rRNA from 1 species
GAUGAACGCUGGCGGCGUGCCUAAUACAUGCAAGUCGAGCGAACGGACGAGAAGCUUGCUUCUCUGAUGUUAGCGGCGGACGGGUGAGUAACACGUGGAUAACCUACCUAUAAGACUGGGAUAACUUCGGGAAACCGGAGCUAAUACCGGCUGAUAUUUUGAACCGCAUGGUUCAAAAGUGAAAGACGGUCUUGCUGUCACUUAUAGAUGGAUUCGCGCUGCAUUAGCUAGUUGGUAAGGUAACGGCUUACCAAGGCAACGAUGCAUAGCCGACCUGAGAGGGUGAUCAGCCACACUGGAACUGAGACACGGUCCAGACUCCUACGGGAGGCAGCAGUAGGGAAUCUUCCGCAAUGGGCGAAAGCCUGACGGAGCAACGCCGCGUGAGUGAUGAAGGUCUUCGGAUCGUAAAACUCUGUUAUUAGGGAAGAACAUAUGUGUAAGUAACUGUGCACAUCUUGACGGUACCUAAUCAGAAAGCCACGGCUAACUACGUG